CGUCUAUAUACGUAUAGCAUAUCAAUAAGCGGAGGAAAAGAAACUAACUAGGAUUCCCUCAGUAACGGCGAGUGAAGCGGGAAGAGCUCAAAUUUGAAAUCUUCAAGGUUCUACCUUGACGAAUUGUAGUUUAAAGAAGUGUUUUCUGUUGGAAUUUUGGUAAAAGUUCUUUGGAAUAGGACAUCAUAGAGGGUGAGAAUCCCGUAUUUGACCAUUUCUUCCAGCUGUGUGAUACACUUUCAAAGAGUCGGAUUGUUUGGGAAUGCAGUCCAAAAUGGGUGGUAAAUUUCAUCUAAAGCUAAAUAUUGGCGAGAGACCGAUAGCGAACAAGUACCGUGAGGGAAAGAUGAAAAGAACUUUGAAAAGAGAGUUAAACAGUACGUGAAAUUGUCAAAAGGGAAGCGUUUGACACCAGUGUUGUUUUCUCGAAAAUCAAUUAAAAAUGGCCGGAUUUUGUGUUGUAUUGACUUUAUCAGCUUUCUGCACUUUUUUCUUGUCUUUUUUAAUGCACUUUUCGUUUAACAAGUCAACAUCAAUUUCUUUUGUUGUAAAAGAGUCAUUGGAAGGUGGCUUUCUUUUCGGAGAAGGUGUUUAUAGCCUUUGGCUUCUACAAUCGGAGAGAUUGAGGUCUGCAGCGUAGAUCCUUCGGGGUUAGAUACAUUUGUGCUAAGUUAUAGCCUUCCUUAGACAACUUGUUGACUAUGAUCAGUCAUGUAGCUUACUCGCUUAUGCUAUUUUACCUACGCUUAGGAUGUUGAUCUGUAGUGCGUGCGC
rnacentral:rRNA from 1 species